UACGUAGGGUGCAAGCGUUAAUCGGAAUUACUGGGCGUAAAGCGUGCGCAGGCGGUCGUGCAAGACAGAUGUGAAAAUCCCCGGGCUCAACCUGGGAAUUGCAUUUGUGACUGCACGGCUAGAGUGUGUCAGAGGGGGGUAGAAUUCCACGUGUAGCAGUGAAAUGCGUAGAGAUGUGGAGGAAUACCGAUGGCGAAGGCAGCCCCUGGGAUAACACUGACGCUCAUGCACGAAAGCGUGGGGAGCAAACAGG
rnacentral:rRNA from 1 species